CCUACGGGGGGCUGCAGUAAGGAAUAUUGGGCAAUGGACGCAAGUCUGACCCAGCCAUGCCGCGUGAAGGAUGAAGGUCCUCUGGAUUGUAAACUUCUUUUAUUUGGGAAGAAAUCCAUGUAUUCUUAUGUGGUUGACGGUACCAGAUGAAUAAGCACCGGCUAACUCCGUGCCAGCAGCCGCGGUAAUACGGAGGGUGCAAGCGUUAUCCGGAUUCACUGGGUUUAAGGCGGAUGUAGAAGGCAGUGUAGAAAUCCUCGAGCUUAACUCGAGAACUGCCAUUGAUACUAUUUAUCUUGAAUAUUGUGGAGGUGAGCGGAAUAUGUCAUGUAGCGGUGAAAUGCUUAGAUAUGACAUAGAACACCAAUUGCGAAGGCAGCUCGCUACACAUAUAUUGACGCUGAGGCACGAAAGCGUGGGGAUCAAACAGGAUUAGAUACCCUGGUAGUC
rnacentral:rRNA from 1 species